rnacentral:lncRNA from 1 species
CUGUCCUGUACUACUCUCUUCUGUUUCCUCAUCGAUAAUGUGCGAAGUCAUCAAACAAUUCUAUGAGGCAAUGUAUUUAUUCAUUUAUUGUGUUAGUUAUUACUCCCACUAUAAGUCACACCUCUGUUACUCUCCAGGGGUGUUUUGACAACAUGUUACCCUCCUCCUUGAUUAAUGGUCACUUCUAAGCCUUGUGAGAUUUUAAAAAGAAAAUAAAAAAAGGAACUUCCCAACUUGCACCAUGAAUUCUGCUUGAAUUCAGAGUAAAGAUGGCAACGGGC